GAUGAAGAACGCAGCGAAAUGCGAUAAGUAAUGUGAAUUGCAGAAUUCAGUGAAUCAUAGAAUCUUUGAACGCACAUUGCGCCCGCCAGUAUUCUGGCGGGCAUGCCUGUUCGAGCGUCAUUACAACCCUCAGGCCCCCGGGCCUGGCGUUGGGGAUCGGCGGAAGCCCCCUGCGGGCACAACGCCGUCCCCCAAAUACAGUGGCGGUCCCGCCGCAGCUUCCAUUGCGUAGUAGCUAACACCUCGCAACUGGAGAGCGGCGCGGCCACGCCGUAAAACACCCAACUUCUGAAUGUUGACCUCGAAUCAGGUAGGAAUACCCGCUGAACUUAAGCAUAUCAAUAAGCGGAGGA
rnacentral:misc_RNA from 1 species